rnacentral:lncRNA from 1 species
UCAAUAAAAAGAUGAACAAGAAGUAGAAGACAAGAUUGAAAACAUCCUAUGGAACACUUUGCACAGCAGAUUUUAGUGAAGGUACUUUAUUCUAUCAAACUGAGUGACAUCAGAAACAGUUACUGCUGGCUGAGUGCGGCACCGCCCUGUGGACAGACCCCAGAUGAUCACUUCUUGUGAAAUACCCGAGUCCAAAUUUAUUGUUUUCAAAUUUGCACAGCUAAUAUUUGCUCUGUGUCAAUAAAUAUUCAUUUCAACAAGUAUUAAACUACCUCGCCAGUUAAAGUGACCAAUUUUUUUUUAAUAGUGAGAAAGAAAACAGACCCUCACUUUUCCCCCUUGAGGUCCAACUCAUAGUAAAUUUUGAUGAAUUCUGUUAGAAAACCCAUCUGUUUUUUGUCACUUCAUCUUAUUUACUUAUCAGUUUAUUUUUGGAGCACAGUUUACACAAAUUUUGUUAAACAGUUUGCAUUUUAUUGGCGGGUUCUUGAUCCUGUCUGUAGAAAACUUUAAAAUGUAUGUUAUUUCAGUCACUGCUGAGGAAGUGCUCAGCUGGUAAAUAACAACACUUUAAAGGGAUAAGUGAGCCUGCAAUAUAUAAUAAUAGAACAUGGGUCAGUCUUUGGUUUCUAAGUCUUUAGAAACUAUGUGUCUUGAUGGGCUAUAGCUUUUUUUUUUUU